CUGUGAGUUGUGUUGAUGACCGAAAACCUAAAUUGUAGGAUGUACAACACCUUAAGAUUGUAGAAACCAAUGGAGCCGACAGCACUCAACA